AGUCCCCCGGAGCCGACCAGUGGUGGCGGCAGCCCCAGGUCCCGGGUCCCUCAGACAAAAAGGCGGGUGGAGGAGGAGUAGCCGAGCCCAGAGUCCUGCUCCGGCGCCGCCGAGCACCGCCCGCCUCAGCCGACCAGCCCCGUCGGCUACUGGGCCUAGCCUAGAGGAGAGGAGGGAAAGGCCGCGGAGGCCGCGAGGAGACGGCUGGGGCGCCAGCGGCCGGCUGCCGCCUAGUUGUGCUGCCCGGACCAAGGAAGGAGAAGUGGGAGGAGCGGGGAGCUCAGCGGCUCAGGACGACGACGCUCGCCACAUCCGGGACCCUCCGGCCGUGGCGGUCGCAGCGCCGGCAGCUCGGGCCUCAGCCCCUGCCUCUGUGGUGACUCCGCCGCGCUUCGACGUCGCCCCUGUCCCCGUCCCGCCCGCCGCCCCCGCCAACCCCGCCGCCGGGGACAUGUCCAACCCCUGAAGCCGGAGGAACGGGCCAGUCAGACUGCGCCCGACAGGUGAUGGGGAGCGGCGGCCGGGCUGGGCAGCCGCCGGGUGGGCGAGCUGGCGCGGGGUACCUGUUGACUUGGGAAGGGCCAGGAUCGCGAUCAAUGGAGGUGAAGUGAAAUCUGCAAGAGUCCUGCUCGUUCAAGGCCUGCAUACAGGAAAGAAGCAGGGGAAAAGCGUUAGAAACAGCUUUUGUUCUACAGCAUUUUAAAAUAUAAUAGGUAUAUUGAAAAGUCUGAUUCAGUUACAAUCAGUGUAUGGAAUCACAAGAAGAUCCAUAAGAAACAAGGUGCUGGAUUUCUCCGUUGUGUUCGUCUUUUUCCAGUGCCAUCAACCACCUCAAAGACACUGGUUAUCAGAGGUUGGAUUUAUGCAAACUUGGGCCAAAGGACAGUUAGAAGACAGUAGUAAGUCUUCAGUCCAGGGACCAAAUCGGCACAGGAGGACAAGUUGUGGACUGCAGUCAUUUAUUUGAUAAUGAUUUACCAGACAACUGAAGAAGCAUCUGUAGGGAAUCCAGAAGGAGCAUUCAUGAAGAUGUUACAAGCCCGGAAGCAGCACAUGAGCACUGAGCUGACUAUUGAGUCGGAGGCGCCCUCAGACAGCAGUGGCAUCAACUUGUCAGGCUUUGGGAGUGAUCAGCUUGAAAUUCAGCUAACCGAGCAGCUACGGUCCCUCAUCCCCAACGAGGAUGUGAGAAAGUUCAUGUCUCAUGUUAUCUGGACCUUGAAAAUGGAAUGUUCAGAAACACAUGUGCAAGGGAGCUGUGCCAAGCUCAUGUCGCGAACAGGCCUCCUGAUGAAGCUUCUCAGCGAGCAGCAGGAAGCAAAGGCAUUGAAUGUAGAAUGGGAUACGGACCAACAAAAAACAAAUUAUAUUAAUGAGAACAUGGAACAGAAUGAACAGAAAGAGCAGAAGUCAAGUGAGCUCAUGAAAGAAGUUCCAGGAUAUGACUAUAAGAACAAACUCAUCUUCGCAAUAUCUGUGACUGUCAUACUAAUAAUUUUGAUUAUAAUUUUUUGUUUUAUAGAGGUGAAUUCACAUAAAAGGGCAUCAGAAAAAUACAAAGACAACCCAUCAAUAUCAGGAGCCUGAGCAUGAGUUAAAGCAUGUGGAUGGCCUAGAGCCAUGUUUUUAAAAUUGUUAUUAAAUAUUGGUUUUUUACUUAAAUCAAUGAAAACUUUCUUUACUUUGUGGUUGUGUUCCUCAAAAUGAGAAUUUUUAACAAUAAUAAAAAUAAAGCUUAUUAGAUCAUUUUUAAUGGUAAUAAAUUGGUUACUGAAGAUUUGACUAAAGAGAAAACUAGGCCAAUCUAAGUAGAGUCCAAAUGAAGUAGAAAGUCCAUAGAGAACAGGCAAAAAGGAAGUUGUGGAACCACAGACAGUAAAAGGAAAAAAUUGGCGGGGCGCAAUGGCUCAUACCUGUAAUCCCAGCACUUUGGGAGGCUGAGGUGGGUGGAUCGCUUGAGCCCAGUUCAGGCAACAUGACAAAACCCCCACCUCUACAAAAAAAAUAGUCAACAUGACAAAACCCCCAAUGUCUACAAAAAAAUACACAAAACAUAUGAGCCAGGGGUGGUGGUGUGCACUUGUAGUCCUAGCUACUUGGUAGGCUGAGGUGGGAGUAUCGCUUGAACCUGGGAGGUGGAGGUUGCAGUAAGCUGAGGUUGAGCUGUUAUACCCCAACCUGGGUGACAGUUGAAAGAGUGAGACCCUGUCUUUAAAAAAAAAAAAAAAAGGAAGAAAGCAAAGAAAAAAAAAUUUAUUUUUGUGACAAGUUCUCUUUCUGUCUCCCAAGCUGGAGUGCAAUGGCAUAAUCAUAGCCCACUGCAGCCUCAAACUCCUGGGCUCAAGGCAUCCUCCUGCCAUAAAGGCCUCCCAAAGUGUUGGGAUUACAGGCAUAAGCCACUGUGAGGCUAGAUUUUUUUUUUUUUUUUUUUUUUAAGCAAGGUUUGGCUCUGUCACCCAGGCUGGAGUGCAGUGGUGCAAUCUUGGCUCACUGCAACCUCUGCCUCCCAGGCUCAAGUGAUCCUCCUGCCUCAGCUUCUCAAGUAGGUGGAACUACAGGCACGUGCCACCAAGCCUGGCUAAUUUUUGUAUUUUUUGUAAAGAAGGGGUCUUGAUACGUUGCCCAGGCUGGUCUUAAAUUCCUGGGUUACAGUGAUCCACCCACCUCAGCCUCCCAAAGUGCUGGGAUUACAGGUGUGAGUCACCACGACUGGCCAAAAAAAGUUAAGUGUUAAAAUCAAAAAGAAAAUUCACCAAGCCAUUUUGCAUAUUUUUCUGGAAAGAUACAGAUACAUAUAUAUACAUAUAUAUAGAGAGAGAGAGAGAAAGAGAGAGAGAUCUGGACUGGACACCCUAUACUAUCAGUUGGGUACAACUUUGUUUCAGAAAGGACAAAGGGAACUGAUUAGAGUUAAGGCACAUAUAUGUGUGUGUGUGUGUGUGUGUAUUUUCCCAAUUCCUCAUACCACUCCUUUUUAUUAAUUUUUAUUGAGAUAUAAGUUAUACACCAUAAAUUCACCCUUUUAAAUAAGUGCAGAAUUUAGUGGGUUUUAGUAUAGUAUUCACAAGGCUGUACAGCCAUCACCACUAUUUAAUUCCAGAACAUUUUCAUCACCCCAGAAAGAAGCCCCAGAAUCACUGGCCCUGCUCCCCAUUUCCUCUCCUAUUUCCUGGCAAGUAUUUACUUCCUAUGAAUUUGCCCAUUUGGGACAUUUCAUAUAAAUCAUACAAUACAUGAUUUCACUAAAUAAGACUUUUGUGUGUGGCUUCAAACAAUUUUUAAAAAUUGAGGUAAAGUAGGCAUAAUAUAACAUUUACAGUCUAACCACUGCCCCCUCUCCCCACCUAUUUUUUGAGACAGGGUCUCACUCUGUCUUCCUGGCUGGAGUGCAGUGGUGUGAUCAUGACUCACUGCAACCUCAGCCUCCCCGGGGCUCAGGUGAUCCUCCCACCUCAGUCUCGCAAGUAACUGGCACCACAGGCACACACCACCAAACCUGGCCAAUUUUUGCAUUGUAGAGACAGGAUUUCGCUAUGUUGCCCAGGCUGGUCUUGAACUCCUGGACUCAAGUGAUCCUCCCACCUCAGCCUCCCAAAGUGCUGGUAUUACCGGCAUGAGCUACCACACCUGGCUGUCUCUAACCAGUUUUAAGUGUACAAUUCAGUAGUGUUAAGUAUAUUCACACUGUUGUAAAACAAAUUUCCAGAACUUUUUCAUCUUCCCAAAUUGAAACUCUGUACCUAUUAAACACUAAUUCCCCAUUCUCUCCUCCCAGCCCAUGGUAACCACCCUUCUACUUUCUGUCUUUAUGAAUCUGACCACUCUAAGUACCUCAUAUGAGAGGAAUCACACAGUAUUUGUCCUUUGGUGACUGGCUUAUUUCACUUAGCAUAAUGCCCUCAAGGGUUCUCCAUGUUGUAACAUGCGUCAGAAAUUCAUUCAAGGCUGAAUAAUAUAUCCGUUAUAUAGAUCAAUCACAUUUGAGUUAUCCAUUCAUCAGUUAAUGCACAUGUAGGUUAUUUCCACCUUUUGGUCAUUGAGAAUAAUGCUGCUGUAUACAUACGUGUAUGCGUUUCUGCAUGACUAUUUGUUUGCAAUUCUUUUGACUAUGUAUGUCUCGGCUCACUGCAACCUCCGCUUCCCGGGUUCAAGCGAUUCUCCUGCCUCAGCCUCUCGAGUAGCUGGGAUUAGAGGCACCUGCCACCACACCCGGCUAAUCUUUGUAUUAUUAGUAGAGACGGGGUUUCACCAUGUUGGCCAGGCUGGUCUCAAACUCCUGACCUCAGGUGAUCCACCCACCUCAGCCUCCCAAAGUGCUGGGAUUAGAAGUAUGAGCCACCACACCUGGCCAUGAAUUUGGUCCAGUGUCUGAACUUCACCUCUAGAGUCCCUUCCAGCCUCCUACCUCACUCCCACCUUGGCCUCCUGAGUAGCUGGGACAACAGGCUUGCGCCACCAUUAACCAGCUCAUUAAAAAAAAGUUUUUUUCUUUGUAAAUAUGGGGUCUCCCCAUGUUUCCCAGACUCCAAACCUAUUUCCUAACCUUUAUCAUUAUCUGCUUCUGUGGGAUGUGAAUGGAAGCGAGGUGUGCUACAUUCAGGCUUUUAACACCUCCCACCUGCACCUUCUAAUUCUUCCUUUGCAUCUUCUGGCUGGACAAAGAGGGUCUUGUGGGGCCUCUGAGUCACUGGAAGAAGGUGAAGCCACAAUAUAGCUGGAGUCUGGUUCCCAGGUGCAGCAGUGUGAUGUGAGUGAGAAAGUAGCCUUUAGUGCAUUAAGCCACUGGGAUCUACAGGUUGCUCGUAGAUCAACCACGUCUACAGACGUGGGGGCACCACCAUGCUCAGCUAAUUUGUUAUAUGUUUAUGUAGAGAUGGGGUCUUGCUAUGUUGCCCAGGCUGGUCUCAAACUUCUGGGCUUAUGUGAUCCUCCCAUCUCAGCCUCCCAAGUAGCUGGGACUGCAGGCUCAUGCUACCAUACCCAGCUAAUUUUUAAUAUUUUUUUCUGUAGAGAUGGAGUCUUGCUAUAUUGCCCAGGCCAGUCUCGAACUCUUGGGCUCAAGCAAUCCUCCCGUCUCAGCCUCCCAAAGUGCUGGGAUUAUAGGUGCGAGCCACCACGCCCAACCAGUUGCUUAAUUCUUACAACAGCCCUCGGAGGUAGGUUCCAUUGUUAGCCCCAAUCUUAUUUAUUUAGAUGGAGUCUCACUCUGUUGUCCAGGCUGGAGUGCAGUGGCAUGAUCCCAGCUCACUGCAACCUUCGCCUCCUGGGUUCAAGUGAUUCUCUUGCCUCUGCCUCCUGAGUAGCUGGGAUAACAGGCACAGGCCACCAUGACUGGCUCAUUUUUUUUUUUUUUUUUUUGUAUUUUUAGUAAAGACAGGGUUUCAUCACGUUGGCCAGGUUGAUUUUGAAUUCCUGACCUCAAAUGAUCUGCCCACCUCGGCCUCCCAUAGCCCCAAUCUUUAAAUGAGGAAAUUGAGGUGCAGAGAGGGUCGGCCACUUGCCAAAUGGGAAAAGCUAGAAUUCUAACCCAGACCAUUUGCCUUCAAAACCUACCCUGACCACCACAGUAACCUGUGAUAAGGUGCAACUCAGAGUAAAUAACCUCCUCUCUGGGCCCUGAUGUCUCUCUACCUACAAUGGAUUUCCUGUUCCUGUGUGGGGAGGGAGGUGCAACACCAGCCCCCGAGCUUUGAGCCUUGCCUCGUCCUCCCUGUAUAUUAAGGAGUGCUCAGAUGUGGCUGUAGCUGCACCUCUUUCUCCAAGAUGGAGCCCACCCAGAGAUGCUGUGUGCAAAAGGCUUGACUCAUAGCCGGCGCAUAAUAUGCCUUCAAUAAAUGUUUGAAAUUAUUAUUCUCGAUGGUGUCACGGUGCUGGCUGAAAGGCAGCAUAGCUCAGCAGUUAAGCCAGACGGUCCGGGUUCAAAUCCCAUCUCUACCAUGUAAUAGCUGUGUGACCUUGGGUAAGUUACUCAACCUCUCUGUUCCCCCAUCUAUAAAAUGGGGGAAAUGACACUAUCUAUUUUAUAGAGCUAUUGCAAGGAUUAGCAUAGAAAAUGCCUCAACCGUGCCUGCCACUGAUGUCAGGUUUUAUUAUUGCUGUAACACUUUCCCCUAUUCAGAGUUUCAUCUCCUAGAUCCCCGGGCACGGCAACAGCUGGCUUUCAGAUCAGGGCCUCCCUGGGAGGUUUUAGUCUCAGCACAAGUCACCUGCCUUCCCCCUCUCUGGCUCCCAGCAGCCCCAUCCUUCCCCCAGUCUUGGCCCGGGUUCCAGCACCGUCUCCUCCCCUCCCCUUUGCCCCUCAGCCCCAGGGUGACCAAAGCCUCUGCCUCGUGGGACGGCUUUCUAGCACUUUCCUCCUUUUAAGAGAUUGACUGCAAUUUCUAUAGUAACAUCACAUUAGCCAGAAAUUAAUGUCCUCAUUAAGAUAGCAAUUAGGCACAUUAGCGUGGCAAUAAAAGAGAAGCUUAUGAAAUAACUGCUGGUUCCAAAAUGCCUUUUAAUUUAGUAUUUUAUAUUGUGCCAUGUUAUUAAUUUUUUUCCCUCGGCAGAAGAUAAUAAGAGAAAUGUUUGAAUUGUGGGGAGGUUUAAAAUAAAAAAAAUUUUUGAGAAGGAAAGCAAUGUUGAUACCUGUAGACAGACGAUCUGUCUUCUCCCCAAAACCCCAUUGGUCCUGAGUCCAUAGGGUGACUCCAUGGGGUGUCAGAAGAGGGACAGCAUUGAUGGGUAGGGGGCCAGGCCAUGUCCUGGGACUUUUGGCCAGGCUUGGCAUCCAGCGGAGAUUGGAGUGGAACAGCCUUUGAUCCUAGAAGCAGGAGAAAUGGUGCCAUGUUUCUUUGCCCUAAACAACGAAUACCUGUUGGUUUGGGAUUUUCCCCCAAUAGGCUCCAUCUCCUGAAUUCAAAUUCUUUCAGCAAAUGUUUCCUUGGUACCCUGUGGCUCUGACUCUGCUGUUGAGGGCUUUCCAGAUUGUUGGAGACGACAGAUGUAUAAAUGGGAAAAUGCCAUGAUAAACUGGGAAUGCAGUAUUUUGCAACUUGUAAUGAAAUCAUGGCUCUAGGCCGGGCACCGCGGCUCACGCCUGUAAUCCCAGAACUUUGGGAGGGCAAGGUGGGAGGAUCGCUUGAGGCCAGGAGUUCGAGAUCAGUCUGGGAAACAUAAUGAGACCCCCCCGCAACCCCGUCUCUUAAAGAAAAAGAAAAGAAAGAAAGAAAUCAUGGAUCUAGGACAUGAUUAGCCAUGGAUAGUAAAAUCAUUAGGGGAAAGGUGGAUGAGGAAUGGUUUUGUGUGGCCAGGCACAGUGGCUCACACCUGUAAUUCCAGCACUUUGGGAGGCUCAGGCAGGCGGAUCACCCGAGGUCAAGAGUUCGAGACUAGCCUGGCCAACAUGGUGAAACCCCAUCUCUACUAAAAAUACAAAAAUUAGCCCGCUGUGGUGGCAGGUGCCUGUAAUUCCAACUACUCGAGAGGCUGAGGCAGGAGAAUUGCUGGAACCUGGGAGGCAGGGGUUGCAGUGAGUCAAGAUCGCGCCACUGCACUCCAGCCUGGGUGACAGAACAAGACUCUGUCUCAAAAAAAAAAAAAAAAAAAGAAAAAAAAGAAAAGAAAAAAAAGAAAAGGAAAAAAAGGAAUGUUUUAGGGGAGGCCUGUUCUGCUCCCAUCUGAGCCCUGGGUCAAAUUUAGCGUCCUAGGCUGGACAUGAUGUGGCUCCCAUUGGGAGCAGUAGUAGUAGGUUGGUGAGGGCCUGGAAGGAGACGUAUCUCCCUGAGUUAAGGAGGGCACCUCAAAGGAUCAGGCACAUGAACAGAGACCUGAAGGAGGAAAAGCGGAGGAUACACAUAGAGAUCUGGGGGAAGAAGGUUCCAGACAGGAGGAACAGCGGGUGCCAAGACUCUGGGGUGGGAACUAGCAUGGAGAAGUAGAGAUCAGCUAGGAGGCUGAUGUGGCUGGACGGAAGUGAGAGAGAGAGGAGAGGAGGUGCAAUGAGAGAUAUACCAAGGAAAGAAAACAUGGGGCGCUGGGCACGGUGGCUCACGCUUGUAAUCCCAGCACUUUGGGAGGCCAAGGCGGGCGGAUCACCCGAGGUCAGGAGUUAGAGACCAGCCCGGCCAACACGGUGGAACACCGUCUCUAUUAAAAAUACAAAAAUUAGUGGGUCAUGGUGGUACAUGUAAUCCCAGCUACUCGGGAGGCUGAGGCAGGAGAAACGCUUGAGCCUGGGAGGCAGAGGCUGCAGUGAGCCGAGAUCGCGCCACUGCAAUCCAGCCUGGGCAACAAAGCGAGACUCCGUCUCAAAAAAAAAAAAAAAGAAAGAAAAAAGAAAGAAAGAAAGAAAAAGGAAAAAUGGGGAAUUUCAUUGGAAGGCCAUGCCAAAACACAAACAAAAAAGAAACAAAUAAAGGAAAAAUGGGGAAGGAUUCCUCAGGAAGUUAAAGAGUUGACAAUCAAUUUCAGGGACCCCGGGAUUUGAGUCUAGCUCCUUCGUGGGCAAGGGGACGUGCUGACCAAUGCACACCUGUGCCUGCCAGGCUCCUUGUCAGUUACCUGUUGCCAGUUAAGCUGUCUAACAAAGGCCAGGCACAGUGGCUCAUGCCUGUAAUCCCAGCACUUUGAGAGGCCAGGCAGGUGGAUCACUUGAGGCCACAAGUUUGAGACCAACCUGGCCAACAUGGCAAAACCUCGUCUCUACUAAAAAUACAAAAAUUAGUCAGUCGUGGUGGCGGGUGUCUGUAAUCCCACCUACUCGGGAGGCCGAGGCAGGAGAAUCGCUUGAACCCGGGAGGGAGGCAGAGGUUGCAGUGAGCCAAGAUUGCACCACUGCAUUCCAGCCUGGGCCACAAAGUGAGACUGAGACAAAAAAAAAAAAAAAAAAAAAAAAAAAGCUGCCUAACAACGCCCAAAUCCAGCAGCUUAGGACAAUCAGCAUUAAUUUUGGCUUCGCAGGCUACAGGGCAGUUUUUCUGCUCCUGGCUGGGCUCACCCACCAGCGUCUAUGGGUCCAAGAGUCACACUGUAUUUAUUCAGGCUGGGUCUUUUCGUAUAUUUGGGCCCGGCUGGCUAUAGGCUGGUCUAGGACAACAGGAUUCUUCCCUCAUCCUCCAGCAGGCUAGCUCGGGCUUGGUCACCUGACAGGGGCAGGGUUUCCAGACGUCGACCAGAAAGAUGCACCACCUCUUCAGGCCUAGAUUGGGAAGUGACUUCACUU
rnacentral:lncRNA from 1 species